UGGGGAAUAUUGCGCAAUGGGGGAAACCCUGACGCAGCAACGCCGCGUGAAGGAUGAAGGUUUUCGGAUUGUAAACUUCUUUGAUGAGGGACGAACAAAAUGACGGUACCUCAAAAACAAGCCACGGCUAACUACGUGCCAGCAGCCGCGGUAAUACGUAGGUGGCGAGCGUUGUCCGGAAUUACUGGGUGUAAAGGGCGUGUAGGCGGGACUGUAAGUCAGAUGUGAAAUUCUGAGGCUUAACCUCAGCGCUGCAUCUGAAACUGUGGUUCUUGAGUGUCGGAGAGGAAAGUGGAAUUCCCAGUGUAGCGGUGAAAUGCGUAGAUAUUGGGAGGAACACCAGUGGCGAAGGCGACUUUCUGGACGACAACUGACGCUGAGGCGCGAAAGCGUGGGGAGCAAACAGG
rnacentral:rRNA from 1 species